UACGUAGGGUGCAAGCGUUAAUCGGAAUUACUGGGCGUAAAGCGUGCGCAGGCGGUUCGCUAAGACCGAUGUGAAAUCCCCGGGCUUAACCUGGGAACUGCAUUGGUGACUGGCGGGCUAGAGUAUGGCAGAGGGGGGUAGAAUUCCACGUGUAGCAGUGAAAUGCGUAGAGAUGUGGAGGAAUACCGUUGGCGAAGGCAGCCCCCUGGGCCAAUACUGACGCUGAGGAGCGAAAGCGUGGGGAGCGAACAGG
rnacentral:rRNA from 1 species